UACAGAGGGUGCAAGCGUUGUUCGGAAUUAUUGGGCGUAAAGGGUGCGUAGGCGGUGCGGUAAGUCUCUUGUGAAAAUCUCCGGGCUCAACCCCGGAGCCUGCAAGGGAAACUGCCGUGCUUGAGUGUGGGGAGAGGUGAGUGGAAUUCCCCGGUGUAGCGGUGAAAAUGCGUAGAUAUCGGGGAGGAACACCUGUGGCGAAAGCGGCUCACUGGACCACAACUGACGCUGAGGCGCGAAAGC
rnacentral:rRNA from 1 species